rnacentral:rRNA from 1 species
UGCAGUCGACGGCAGCACGGGGGCAACCCUGGUGGCGAGUGGCGAACGGGUGAGUAACAUAUCGGAACGUGCCCUGGAGUGGGGGAUAACUAGUCGAAAGAUUAGCUAAUACCGCAUACGAUCUACGGAUGAAAGUGGGGGAUCGCAAGACCUCAUGCUCGNGGAGCGGCCGAUAUCUGAUUAGCUAGUUGGUGGGGUAAAGGCCUACCAAGGCAUCGAUCAGUAGCUGGUCUGANAGGACGACCAGCCACACUGGGACUGANACACGGCCCAGACUCCUACGGNNGGCAGCAGUGGGGAAUUUUGGACAAUGGGCGCAAGCCUGAUCCAGCAAUGCCGCGUGAGUGAAGAAGGCCUUCGGGUUGUAAAGCUCUUUUGUCAGGGAANAAACGGUUCNGGUUAAUACCUUGGGCUAAUGACGGUACCUGAA